AGCACGAUAGCCCAGUUGGUAAAGAUAUUCUAUUAUCAUUAAUGAGGUUGCAGGUUCGAUUCCUGUUCGUGUUG
rnacentral:tRNA from 1 species